CAAUUUUUGGAAUAUAAACCAUAGAUUAGAUCCCACUUGCCUUGGUUCAAACCUGACUUCACAUUUUCUUAAGGCAUCACCACUAGUGAUCUAGAUCCACCCAACAUGAAGUAACAACAAGAAUGCAUUUUAGAGGAUGAAAUAUUUAUUGUUAACAUUUUUACAGAACCAAUGGAUUUAUGUCAAGGCCACUAAGACCAACAAGUAAAUAUUUCUAUAAUGCAUCCAAUAGUAUACUGUCUGUACACUCACACUUUUAUUUAAUCCUACAGGCUUUCAGUGGUUAUUAAAAUACAUUUGUACACACAGGUCAUCCACAGUGAACAAAAUAUCAGUUCUAUGCAGCUGUACACACUAACUAUGGACCUGUAGCAACACUGACAUAAAAUGUACACACAGCUCAAACACAUCAGUCUUGAUGAUUGUAAACAUUUAAAUAGAGGAAAACACAUUACAUUAACAGUAAACAAAUAUAUAUAUAUCAUUUUUCAAGUAAAUAAAAGAUGGCAACAACCAAUAAUCACCAAACAGAUGAACAAAAACUUUAAAAAUAUUUUAGUACAACUAAGCUAACCAGAAUAAAGUCAAGUUACAAGAAUUUAAAACAGCACAAACUAAUACUGAAAUGAAUCAGUCAGUAGUACUGAUCAUUAAAAUGUUAUAGCUAGUUAUAGACUUGAUUUAAAUAAAAUAAACAUAACUUUUAGAACAUUUUAGAUAGUCAACCCUUCAGUGACUACACAAACAAUGGUGGUCACAAUAAACCAUAGCUAUAUGAAAAAAAUUAAGUUAUAAUACCUGUCUAAUCAAUAAGUGACUCAUUGGUAUAAUGAAGUAACACAUUGAACAGCUUGACAUAUAUAUA
rnacentral:sRNA from 1 species